rnacentral:tRNA from 2 species
GGUUUUAUAGUCAAUAAAUGAUAUUAGACUGCAAUUCUAAAGUUGUGUUUUACUAAAACCU